CGUGAGAUGUUGGGUUAAGUCCCGCAACGAGCGCAACCCCUAUUGUUAGUUGCCAUCAUUCAGUUGGGCACUCUAGCGAGACUGCCGGUAAUAAACCGGAGGAAGGUGGGGAUGACGUCAAAUCAUCAUGCCCCUUAUGACCUGGGCUACACACGUGCUACAAUGGUUGGUACAACGAGUUGCGAGUCGGUGACGGCAAGCUAAUCUCUUAAAGCCAAUCUCAGUUCGGAUUGUAGGCUGCAACCCGCCUACA
rnacentral:rRNA from 1 species